rnacentral:rRNA from 1 species
UACAGAGGUGGCAAGCGUUGUUCGGAAUUACUGGGCGUAAAGGGCGCGUAGGUGGCCUUUUGAGUCAGACGUGAAAUCCCCCGGCUUAACCUGGGAACUGCGUCUGAUACUGGAAGGCUUGAGUUCGGGAGAGGGAUGUGGAAUUCCAGGUGUAGCGGUGAAAUGCGUAGAUAUCUGGAGGAACACCGGUGGCGAAGGCGGAUCUCUGGGCCUUGCCUGACGCUGAGGCGCGAAAGCUAGGGGAGCGAACAGG